GCCUUCGACGUGGCGUUUCUUCGGUUUCACUUCCGGUGUGAAGGAUAUGUGCAAGAUAAAGCAGCCAGGGAUUUAAGUCUGGCAACAGUUGGACUGCUGGAUUUUCAGAGAAGCGUUCCCCAAAGCAAAUUAUGGUGCUAAUUUCCAAUGUUCCAUAAGCAUGGCAAGAAAAAUGGGAAGUUCUCGGUAAGGUAUAUAGUAUUAUUUCUAGAAAUAAAUAUGAACCAAUCCAAGAUUGAUUUUUUGUUUGUUUAAUCCUGGCAGUAUUCUGAACUAAAUCGUAUUCAUUCUUCCCUUUACUUUCCAGACUUUUUUAUUUUAUUUAUUUAUUUAUUUUUUGAGACAGAGUCUCGCCCAGGCUGGAAUGCAGUGCCACAAUCUUGGUUCACUGCAACCUCUGCCUCCCUGGUUCAAGCGAUUCUCCUGCCUCAGCCUCCCGAGUAGCUGGGACUACAGGCAUGCGCCACCACGCCAGGCUAAUUUUUGCAUUUUUAGUAGAGAUGGGGUUUUACAUAUUGAUCAG
rnacentral:sRNA from 1 species